rfam:Ciona savignyi cont_40254, whole genome shotgun sequence.
GUCUUCGUGGCCGAGUGGUUAAGGCGACAGACUUGAAAUCUGUUGGGCUCUGCCCGCACAAGUUCGAAUCUUGUCGGAGACG